UGAGUAACACGUAUCCAACCUGCCGACAACACUGGGAUAGCCUUUCGAAAGAAAGAUUAAUACCGGAUGGCAUAAUUAUUCCGCAUGGGAUAAUUAUUAAAGAAUUUCGGUUGUCGAUGGGGAUGCGUUCCAUUAGGCAGUUGGCGGGGUAACGGCCCACCAAACCUACGAUGGAUAGGGGUUCUGAGAGGAAGGUCCCCCACAUUAGAACUGAGACACGGUCCAAACUCCUACGGGAGGCAGCAGUGGGGAAUAUUGGUCAAUGGACGAGAGUCUGAACCAGCCAAGUAGCGUGAAGGAUGACUGCCCUAUGGGUUGUAAACUUCUUUUAUACGGGAAUAAAGUGAGCCACGUGUGGCUUUUUGUAUGUACCGUAUGAAUAAGGAUCGGCUAACUCCGUGCCAGCAGCCGCGGUAAUACGGAGGAUCCGAGCGUUAUCCGGAUUUAUUGGGUUUAAAGGGAGCGUAGGCGGGUUGUUAAGUCAGUUGUGAAAGUUUGCGGCUCAACCGUAAAAUUGCAGUUGAUACUGGCGACCUUGAGUGCAACAGAGGUAGGCGGAAUUCGUGGUGUAGCGGUGAAAUGCUUA
rnacentral:rRNA from 1 species